rnacentral:rRNA from 1 species
AUUGAACGCUAGCGGGAUGCUUUACACAUGCAAGUCGAACGGCAGCGCGGACUUCGGUCUGGCGGCGAGUGGCGAACGGGUGAGUAAUGUAUCGGAACGUGCCCAGUAGCGGGGGAUAACUACGCGAAAGCGUAGCUAAUACCGCAUACGCCCUACGGGGGAAAGCAGGGGAUCGUAAGACCUUGCACUAUUGGAGCGGCCGAUAUCGGAUUAGCUAGUUGGUGAGGUAACGGCUCACCAAGGCGACGAUCCGUAGCUGGUUUGAGAGGACGACCAGCCACACUGGGACUGAGACACGGCCCAGACUCCUACGGGAGGCAGCAGUGGGGAAUUUUGGACAAUGGGGGCAACCAUGAUCCAGCCAUCCCGCGUGUGCGAUGAAGGCCUUCGGGUUGUAAAGCACUUUUGGCAGGAAAGAAACGUCGCGGGCUAAUACCCCGUGGAACUGACGGUACCUGCAGAAUAAGCACCGGCUAACUACGUG